UACAGAGGUCUCAAGCGUUGUUCGGAUUCAUUGGGCGUAAAGGGUGCGUAGGCGGCGCGGUAAGUCGGGUGUGAAAUCUCGGAGCUUAACUCCGAAACUGCAUUCGAUACUGCCGUGCUUGAGGACUGGAGAGGAGACUGGAAUUUACGGUGUAGCGGUGGAAAUGCGUAGAUAUCGUAAGGAAGACCAGUGGCGGAAGGCGGGU
rnacentral:rRNA from 1 species